rnacentral:rRNA from 1 species
UACGGAGGGGCUAGCGUUGUCCGGAAUACUGGCGUAAAGCGCGCGUAGGUGGUCCACCAAGUCGGGGUGAAAGCCCAGGGCUCAACCCUGGAACUUGUCCGCCGAGACUGAUGGACUCGAGUUCGGGAGAGGAGAGCGGAAUUCCCAGUGUAGAGGUGAAAUUCGUAGAUAUUGGGAAGAACACCGGUGGCGAAGGCGGCUCUCCUGGCCCGCAACUGACGCUGAGGCGCGAAAGCGUGGGAGCAACAGG